CUCAAUCAUUGUAUUGUGUCAACAUUCGCUUUACAGGAGCGCCCUCUACUGAGCAAGUAAGGCGUACAGCGGCAGAAGCCGGAUUUAGAAUAGUACUCACCCUCCCCCCCCCAUCACUGAAAUCUGACAACAUCAAGGGUUGUCUUGGCAACUACUCAAUCUGUGUCAGCUGGCUUGAAAAAUCCAUAAAUAGUCGGCCAUCCAGCAGUUAUUUCC